UACGAAGGGGGCUAGCGUUGCUCGGAAUCACUGGGCGUAAAGCGCACGUAGGCGGGUCUUUAAGUCAGGGGUGAAAUCCCGGAGCUCAACUCCGGAACUGCCUUUGAUACUGGAGAUCUUGAGUCCGGGAGAGGUGAGCGGAACUCCGAGUGUAGAGGUGAAAUUCGUAGAUAUCGGGAGGAACACCGGUGGCGAAGGCGGCGAUCUGGGUCGAUACUGACGCUGAGGUGCGAAAGCGUGGGGAGCAACCAGG
rnacentral:rRNA from 1 species